UGGGGAAUAUUGGACAAUGGGCGAAAGCCUGAUCCAGCCAUGCCGCGUGUGUGAAGAAGGUCUUCGGAUUGUAAAGCACUUUAAGUUGGGAGGAAGGGCAGUAAAUUAAUACUUUGCUGUUUUGACGUUACCGACAGAAUAAGCACCGGCUAACUCUGUGCCAGCAGCCGCGGUAAUACAGAGGGUGCAAGCGUUAAUCGGAAUUACUGGGCGUAAAGCGCGCGUAGGUGGUUUGUUAAGUUGGAUGUGAAAUCCCCGGGCUCAACCUGGGAACUGCAUCCAAAACUGGCAAGCUAGAGUAUGGUAGAGGGUGGUGGAAUUUCCUGUGUAGCGGUGAAAUGCGUAGAUAUAGGAAGGAACACCAGUGGCGAAGGCGACCACCUGGACUGAUACUGACACUGAGGUGCGAAAGCGUGGGGAGCAAACAGGAUUAGAUACCCCGGUAGUCCCUGAGCGGGCUGGCAAGGCGCAU
rnacentral:rRNA from 1 species